rnacentral:rRNA from 1 species
UACGUAGGAGGCAAGCGUUGUCCGGAGUUACUGGGCGUAAAGCGCACGCAGGCGGUUCGUUACGUUCGAAGUGACAGUCUCCAGCUUAACUGGGGAAGUGCUUGGAAAACGGACGAACUUGAGGGCUCUAGAGAGAUACGGAAUUCCGGGUGGAGUGGUGAAAUGCGUAGAUAUCCGGAGGAACACCAAAGGCGAAGGCAGUAUCUUGGAGAGUACCUGACGCUCAGGUGCGAAAGCCAGGGGAG